rnacentral:rRNA from 1 species
AUUGAACGCUGGCGGAAUGCUUUACACAUGCAAGUCGAACGGCAGCACGGGGGCAGCCCUGGUGGCGAGUGGCGAACGGGUGAGUAAUACAUCGGAACGUGCCCGGUCGUGGGGGAUAACGUAGCGAAAGUUACGCUAAUACCGCAUACGAUCUGAGGAUGAAAGCGGGGGACCUUCGGGCCUCGCGCGAUCGGAGCGGCCGAUGUCAGAUUAGGUAGUUGGUGGGGUAAAGGCCUACCAAGCCGACGAUCUGUAGCUGGUCUGAGAGGACGACCAGCCACUCUGGGACUGAGACACGGCCCAGACUCCUACGGGAGGCAGCAGUGGGGAAUUUUGGACAAUGGGCGCAAGCCUGAUCCAGCCAUUCCGCGUGCAGGACGAAGGCCUUCGGGUUGUAAACUGCUUUUGUACGGAACGAAAAGGCUCUGGCUAAUACCUGGGGCUCAUGACGGUACCGUAAGAAUAAGCACCGGCUAACUACGUG